UACAGAGGUCUCAAGCGUUGUUCGGAUUCAUUGGGCGUAAAGGGUGCGUAGGUGGCGGGGUAAGUCGGGUGUGAAAUCUCGGGGCUUAACUCCGAAACUGCAUUCGAUACUGCCGUGCUUGAGGACUGGAGAGGAGACUGGAAUUGCCGGUGUAGUGGUGAAAUGCGUAGAGAUCGGCAGGAACACCCAGGGGGAAACCAGCCGACUGGGCAUCUACUGACGCUGAGGUGCGAGAGCGUGGGGAGCGAACCGG
rnacentral:rRNA from 1 species